rnacentral:misc_RNA from 1 species
UUUCCGUAGGUGAACCUGCGGAAGGAUCAUUACCAAAUCCAAAAAAACUUUCUAUCCACACCCCAAUGUGAACUGAGAAUGGUUCUGUUUCCUCUCCCUCUCUCUCUCUCUCUCUCUUCCUCUCUCCCUCUCUCUCUCUUCGGAGUGUCAGGGUCAGGGUUAGGGGUGGGUUGUUUGUGGAGAGGGGAAGCGUGUGAGAGAAAAAAAAACACACAUAUAUAUAUAUACACACGCGCACACACACAAGGCAGAGUUUGGGCGGCGGGGAUUCGUCCCCUGCCACCUCUUUUUCUUCCCCUAUCGUGUGUGUGCGCGCGUGCGUGUGUGUUUUUCUCUCUUGCCACCCCCAUUUUUUCCAACCCCUUUUAAAACCUAAAACCCUUUAUUACAUGCUGAAAGCAAAAACAAACGAAACAUGAGACAACUUUUAACGGUGGAUCUCUUGGCUCGU